CUCAAACUCCUCCUUAACCAGCCAGGUUUACAUUUUGGUGUGAAUCUGGACUUCUCUCCCCUUCGAAGUCUUGAUCUUCCUGUAUUCACGUUACAUAUACUCUGUCCAUUUUGCUCAAUCUGUCUUCUACUCGAGUGAUUUCUGCAUGUAUCUUAUUCCCCCACUAGGCAGUACUUGAUUAAGUGCCAGAUGACUAGCAGAGGCAAGACAUGCUCUGAGUUAGGAGUCGUCAUGAUUUUUGAAGUUUUCACCAAGUAGAGAGUUGAUUUGGUCUUUUAAGGUUGGGGAGGUUUCUGCAGACAGGUAUGGGGGAGAGUACCAGGGACAUGGAGUGGUUUAUGCAAAGCAAACAAAUAAGAAAGCAAAAAUGAACAGAGAUUAGGCAACUUUGCUAUCAAGGGGAGUAGCUGAGAUCUGGCUGGAAAAACUGUGAAUAAGAGGCCAAGUAUUUGUUCGGGAGGGCAGUGUUUUCUCUAACUUAUUCAUGAUAAAAUUUUGAUAUAUUGCAU
rnacentral:sRNA from 1 species